GCAUAUCAAUAAGCGGAGGAAAAGAAACCAACAGGGAUUGCCCUAGUAACGGCGAGUGAAGCGGCAAAAGCUCAGAUUUGAAAUCUGGCGUCAUAUUGGCGUCCGAGUUGUAAUCUGUAGAGGAGUAUUCGAGUGUGGCGCUGGCUUAAGUUCCUUGGAACAGGACGUCAUAGAGGGUGAGAACCCCGUUAACGGCCUUUGUCUUAUGCUCAUGUGAAUCUCCUUCAACGAGUCGAGUUGUUUGGGAAU
rnacentral:rRNA from 1 species